AUUGAACGCUGGCGGCAGGCCUAACACAUGCAAGUCGAGCGGAGCGGCGGACGGGUGAGUAAUGCCUAGGCAUCUGCCUGUUAGUGGGGGAUCACGUCAGGAACCGGGCGCUCAUACCGCAUACUAUCAGAUGAGCCUAGGCCGGCUUAGCUCGUUGGAGGGGUAAAGGCAUACAAAGACGACGAUCCGUACCUGGGCUGAGAGGAUGAUCAGGCAAACUGGAACUGAGACACGGGCCAGACUCCUACGGUAGGCAGCAGUGGGGAAUAUUGGACAAUGGGCGAAAGCCUGAUCCAGCCAUGCCGCGUGUGUGAAGAAGGUCUUCGGAUUGUAAAGCACUUUCAGUUAGGAGGCGUGACCAACAGAAUAAGCACCGGCUAACUUCGUGCCAGCCGCCGCGGUAAUAC
rnacentral:rRNA from 1 species